rnacentral:rRNA from 1 species
GUCUACAGCCAUGCCACCCCGAACAAGCCCAAUGCCUGUUUUUGGGAGCUAAGCAGUGUCAGGCCUGGUUAGUACUUGGAUGGGAGACCAUCUAGCAAGACCAAGUGCUGUAGGCA